rnacentral:rRNA from 1 species
AUGAACGCUGGCGGCGUGCCUAAUACAUGCAAGUCGAGCGAACAGAUGAGGAGCUUGCUCCUCUGACGUUAGCGGCGGACGGGUGAGUAACACGUGGAUAACCUACCUAUAAGACUGGGAUAACUUCGGGAAACCGGAGCUAAUACCGGAUAAUAUAUUGAACCGCAUAGUUCAAUAGUGAAAGACGGUUUUGCUGUCACUUAUAGAUGGAUCCGCGCCGCAUUAGCUAGUUGGUAAGGUAACGGCUUACCAAGGCAACGAUGCGUAGCCGACCUGAGAGGGUGAUCGGCCACACUGGAACUGAGACACGGUCCAGACUCCUACGGGAGGCAGCAGUAGGGAAUCUUCCGCAAUGGGCGAAAGCCUGACGGAGCAACGCCGCGUGAGUGAUGAAGGUCUUCGGAUCGUAAAACUCUGUUAUUAGGGAAGAACAAAUGUGUAAGUAACUAUGCACGUCUUGACGGUACCUAAUCAGAAAGCCACGGCUAACUACGUG